rnacentral:rRNA from 1 species
UAUGUGAUCGUCUCUCGCAUAUCAAUAAGCGGAGGAAAAGAAACUAACAAGGAUUCCCCUAGUAACGGCGAGUGAGGCGGGAAGAGCUCAAAUUUGAAAUCUUAAAGGGUUUCCCUUUACGAAUUGUAGUUUAAGGAAGUGUUUUCUGUUGAGGUUUUGGUAAAAGUUCUUUGGAAUAGGACAUCAUAGAGGGUGAGAAUCCCGUAUUUGACCUUUACUUUCAACUUUGUGAUACACUUUCAAAGAGUCGGAUUGUUUGGGAAUGCAGUCCAAAAUGGGUGGUAAAUUUCAUCUAAAGCUAAAUAUUGGCGAGAGACCGAUAGCGAACAAGUACCGUGAGGGAAAGAUGAAAAGAACUUUGAAAAGAGAGUUAAACAGUACGUGAAAUUGUCAAAAGGGAAGCGUUUGACACCAGUGUUGUUUUUCUGAAAAUCAAUUAAAGAACUGUUUAUGCUAAGCUGUUUAGACUUUAUCAGCUAUCUGUUUAGUUUUGAGCUUUUCUUUAAUGCACUUUUCAGUUAACAAGUCAACAUCAAUUUCUUUUGCUGUAAAAAAGCUUGAGGAAGGUGGCUUGAGAUUCGUCUUAAGUGUUUAUAGCCUCUUGCCUAUGCAGUCGGAGAGAUUGAGGUCUGCAGCGUAGAUCCUUCGGGGCUGAAUGCAGUUUGUGCUAAGUUAUAGCAUUUUAUAGACAACUUGUUGACUAUGAUUUGUCUUGUAGCUUACUCGCUUAUGUUAUUUUACCUACGCUUAGGAUGUUGACGAGACUGUCGAUCUC